GGGGUUGUAGCUCAGAGGUAGAGCACUCGCCUACCAUGUGUGAGGCACUGGGUUCGAUCCUCAGCACCACA
rnacentral:tRNA from 1 species